rnacentral:tRNA from 1 species
ACCUGGCUGGCUCAGUUAGUAAAGCAUGAGAUUCUUAAUCUCAAGGUCGUGAGCCCAAGCCCCACGUUGGGUA